GUAGGUGGCAAGCGUUGUCCGGGAAUUAUUGGGGCGUAAAGCGCGCGCAGGCGGUUCUUUAAGUCUGAUGUGAAAGCCCACGGGCUCAACCGUGGAGGGUCAUUGGAAGCUGGAGAACUUGAGUACAGAAGAGGAAAGCGGAAUUCCACGUGUAGCGGUGAAAUGCGUAGAGAUGUGGAGGAACACCAGUGGCGAAGGCGGCUUUCUGGUCUGUAACUGACGCUGAGGCGCGAAAGCGUGGGGAGCAAACAGGAUUAGAUACCCUGGUAGUCCACGCCGUAAACGAUGAGUGCUAAGUGUUAGGGGGUUUCCGCCCCUUAGUGCUGCAGCUAACGCAUUAAGCACUCCGCCUGGGGAAUACGGCCGCAAAGGCUG
rnacentral:rRNA from 1 species